CAUUGAUAAGAGUGGAUCAGAUGGCAGCUCGCAUGGACUCGACUCCCUGAUUCAGCAGCACGCAGACUCUAUGGAGCAACCAAACAGAGGCACCGGGCUUUUGCUCUAGAAAUGGACUCGCAGGCUCGUCUCUUUAGGCUGCAAACCUCUCACCGCACUUGCAUGAGAGCAAGUCCCGCUGAAGUCAGGGGAAGUUACUUACGAGAGAGAGAGGAGAGAGGACCCUGAAACACACGCCACCUAUCUUUGUGGGGAGGGAUAAUUGAAGAGCGCCAAACGUGAGCAUCAUGUGGAAACGUGAUCGCCAAGUUUCUCUCUG